rnacentral:rRNA from 1 species
UACGAAGGGGGCUAGCGUUGCUCGGAAUCACUGGGCGUAAAGGGUGCGUAGACGGGUCUUUAAGUCAGGGGUGAAAUCCUGGAGCUCAACUCCAGAACUGCCUUUGAUACUGAAGAUCUUGAGUUCGGGAGAGGUGAGUGGAACUGCGAGUGUAGAGGUGAAAUUCGUAGAUAUUCGGAAGAACACCAGUGGCGAAGGCGGCUCACUGGAUCGGUAUUGACGCUGAGGUGCGAAAGCGUGGGGAGCAAACAGG